rnacentral:rRNA from 2 species
GAGUUUGNNNNNGGCUCAGGACGAACGCUGGCGGCGUGCCUAAUACAUGCAAGUCGAACGAACUCUGGUAUUGAUUGGUGCUUGCAUCAUGAUUUACAUUUGAGUGAGUGGCGAACUGGUGAGUAACACGUGGGAAACCUGCCCAGAAGCGGGGGAUAACACCUGGAAACAGAUGCUAAUACCGCAUAACAACUUGGACCGCAUGGUCCGAGUUUGAAAGAUGGCUUCGGCUAUCACUUUUGGAUGGUCCCGCGGCGUAUUAGCUAGAUGGUGAGGUAACGGCUCACCAUGGCAAUGAUACGUAGCCGACCUGAGAGGGUAAUCGGCCACAUUGGGACUGAGACACGGCCCAAACUCCUACGGGAGGCAGCAGUAGGGAAUCUUCCACAAUGGACGAAAGUCUGAUGGAGCAACGCCGCGUGAGUGAAGAAGGGUUUCGGCUCGUAAAACUCUGUUGUUAAAGAAGAACAUAUCUGAGAGUAACUGUUCAGGUAUUGACGGUAUUUAACCAGAAAGCCACGGCUAACUACGUGCCAGCAGCCGCGGUAAUACGUAGGUGGCAAGCGUUGUCCGGAUUUAUUGGGCGUAAAGCGAGCGCAGGCGGUUUUUUAAGUCUGAUGUGAAAGCCUUCGGCUCAACCGAAGAAGUGCAUCGGAAACUGGGAAACUUGAGUGCAGAAGAGGACAGUGGAACUCCAUGUGUAGCGGUGAAAUGCGUAGAUAUAUGGAAGAACACCAGUGGCGAAGGCGGCUGUCUGGUCUGUAACUGACGCUNNGCUC